rnacentral:rRNA from 1 species
AUUGAACGCUGGCGGCAUGCUUUACACAUGCAAGUCGAACGGUAACAGGCCGCAAGGUGCUGACGAGUGGCGAACGGGUGAGUAAUGCAUCGGAACGUGCCCAGUCGUGGGGGAUAACUACUCGAAAGAGUAGCUAAUACCGCAUGCGAUCUAUGGAUGAAAGCGGGGGACCGUAAGGCCUCGCGCGAUUGGAGCGGCCGAUGUCAGAUUAGGUAGUUGGUGGGGUAAAGGCUCACCAAGCCAACGAUCUGUAGCUGGUCUGAGAGGACAACCAGCCACACUGGGACUGAGACACGGCCCAGACUCCUACGGGAGGCAGCAGUGGGGAAUUUUGGACAAUGGGCGCAAGCCUGAUCCAGCAAUGCCGCGUGCAGGAAGAAGGCCUUCGGGUUGUAAACUGCUUUUGUACGGAACGAAACGGCUCUGGUUAAUACCCGGGGCUAAUGACGGUACCGUAAGAAUAAGCACCGGCUAACUACGUG